rnacentral:rRNA from 1 species
CCUACGGGAGGCAGCAGUGAGGAAUAUUGGUCAAUGGGCGCGAGCCUGAACCAGCCAAGUAGCGUGAAGGAUGACUGCCCUACGGGUUGUAAACUUCUUUUGUCGGGGAACAAAGGCGGAGACGCGUCUCCGGAUGAGUGUACCCGAAGAAAAAGCAUCGGCUAACUCCGUGCCAGCAGCCGCGGUAAUACGGAGGGUGCGAGCGUUAUCCGGAUUUAUUGGGUUUAAAGGGUGCGCAGGCGGGAGAUCAAGUCAGCGGUAAAAUGUCGGGGCUCAACCCCGGCCGGCCGUUGAAACUGGUUUUCUAGAGUUGGAGAGAAGUAUGCGGAAUUCGUGGUGUAGCGGUGAAAUGCAUAGAUAUCACGAAGAACUCCGAUUGCGAAGGCAGCAUACCGGCUCCAUACUGACGCUGAGGCACGAAAGCGUGGGGAUCGAACAGGAUUAGAUACCCUAGUAGUC